GCCUCAGACAUGGUUGUCUCUCCUUCUGGGUGGAUGCUCAUUUCUUCCCUUCCCUGCAGGGCACUCCGUUAUCCACCAGCCUGGCUCUGCAUCCACCUCCAAUAAUGGUGCCUCCCAAGUUGGCAUCUUUAACUGGAUGGCAAUAUACAUUUCAGCAUUCCAGUGAUGCCUGGGAAACGCCUGGCACUGCCUGACCACAGCUGCCUCCCUCCAGGAUUUCUUUCUGUUAAUCAGGAGCUUUUGCACUUGGAAGAAGUUGCUCCUGUUCGUCUUGGGGAUGCUGUU
rnacentral:lncRNA from 1 species